rnacentral:rRNA from 1 species
CCUACGGGGGGCUACAGUGGGGAAUAUUGGACAAUGGGGGCAACCCUGAUCCAGCGACGCCGCGUGUGUGAAGAAGGCCUGCGGGUUGUAAAGCACUUUUAGUGGGGAGGAAGGUCUGCGACCUAACACGUCGUGGAAUUGACUUAACCCACAGAAAAAGCACCGGCUAACUCUGUGCCAGCAGCCGCGGUAAUACAGAGGGUGCAAGCGUUACGCGGAAUUACUGGGCGUGAAUUGGGAGUUGGCGGUUGAAAGCCCCGGGCUCAACCUGGGAAUUGCAUUCGAGACUGCGAAGCUGGAGUGCGGAAGAGGGAAGUGGAAUUUCCGGUGUAGCGGUGAAAUGCGUAGAUAUCGGAAGGAACAUCAGUGGCGAAAGCGACUUCCUGGUCCAGCACUGACGCUCAGGCACGAAAGCGUGGGGAGCAAACAGGAUUAGAUACCCGAGUAGUC